rnacentral:lncRNA from 8 species
AUGCUAAAUUUAAAGAUGGUGGGGACUAGCUACCUCAGGAAAACCCCCACCAACCCCCCACCACCCCCCAUCCCCCACAUCCACCCCUCCAGGCUAUCCUCACAGUGCAGACUACUUUUUGAGAAGGGAAUUUUCACUGUGAAGGCUCGAAUUUGGCUCUGGCACGACACUUUAUGUGACAGACAGCAAUCAACGAAAACCCAAAGUGACGGUGUACCCAGCGUCCAACUCUGAGUCGAAUGGGAAGACCACCCUGCUAUGUCUGGCUAGAGACAUGUUUCCAGACUUGGUCAAGAUCUCAUGGAAGAUUGAGGAUGCAAACGGCAGAAGAAUGGAGGUGUCCAAAGCAGAGACGGAACAGCUGGAGCAGAGGGAGGAAGGACAGACAACCAGUAUGAUCAUCAUUGAUAAAGAGAAGACGUACAGGAACAAAUACGUCUGUUCUGUGGAGCAUGAAUGGGGCGCUCAACAAUUUGACAUUCCAAAAGGUAAAGCCAGUAAUUGAAAUAGUUUUACAUUAGUAUGUAGGCCUAUUAUGUUUGUCAUACAUCAUUAUUAAUUUAAUAUGUAUGUACUAUAUUUAUAUGAGUAGGUUAUCAUGUAUUCAACCAUGUAAAAAUGACAUAGGCCUAUUAAAAAGAAAGUACAUAAAAAUGUGACACACAAUUGGCCAUUGCAUAGGAAUGUUGUGUAGUUAGUUUUGCAAGUUAAAACAAAACACCUUAAUUUGCGUAACAAUUAUCCCUGACAGUAGCCCACAUAAUAUUCUGAAAGCAUAUUCUUUAAUAUUAUAUUUUUCCAUCUCAUUCUCAAAUAAACCAACUGAAGAUACUCCACCAACCUGCCCGUUCAGAAAUGACACGCAGGAGCCACUGACUCUGCAGUUUACCGAAGGUAAAAUUCAUGUAUAUUUCAUGCAGGGUUGGGGUCAAUUCAAAACAAAAAUAAAAAAAGGGAAAAAAUUAAAAUAUGAGUGGUUGGAUAAAUUAACAGAUUUAGACAGAUAUUACAUCCGAUUGCGCUUUGUCGCCAUUCCACCUUCUGAGGAACGCAUUCACGGUAUAAACGCUGUUUAUGGCUGCUCAAUUUAAAAUGACCUUUAAUUAAGGGCGCUUUCACAUAUCCUCUUAUGAUCUGGAUCCAGGAGCGUUUAGUUUUCUACCCUGAUCCGCGCUAUAAAGCAUGUGUGAAACACAAACUAACCCGGGCUGAAACGAAUAUCUUCUUAUGAGGAUAGCGUGAGUAGCGGGUCCAAGAUCCAGGACCAGAGUACCAGGAAUUGUGACAGUGGCAGAGCGAGUCGAAUGGAACUUUUUUACCUGUUGCACUCGCCAAGGUCAUGUAAAUUGUUCGUAUUGUUAAAACCUCCUAAGUGGAGUGUAGCCGACAAAACGCGAUCGGAUGGAUAAUCUGAUCACGGUUUAUAGGCAAAGUGCCCCUUAAAGGCACUUGUUUGCCGAGAUGCCAUCCAUGGUAAAUGUACCAUAUGUCGGCUUAAUAGGAACAUGUGUUUUUAAACGGCAAUCCCUGUAACCUGCAUGCAAAUUGAAUCCCAGCUCUUACUCUUUUCUCUUCCCCAGAUUCCUUCCAGUCAACGUGCAGUCUGAACCUGGCCUCUGUGGUUUACACAGUGAUGAUCGUGAAGAGCAUGGUGUACUGCUGUGGGCUCUCUCUCCUGCUGCACCACAGGAUUCUAGGAAGAGGACCCAGCACCUGAAGACCUCUAUGAGGAAAAUCAUUUAUGUGCUUUUUUACAUUGAUACAAUGUUGUUGUUUUUUUACAUUGAUCCAGCUUGCAUGACAUUUUCCUUGCCUAACACAGCCUGCUCAAAUUAACCAAGUUGAUCAAAAUAACCAUAUUAUUUUAGAUGAGGAUGGAUUUAAUUAUCGCUGCCUUUAUGAACAAAAUGUUGCAACAACAAUGGUUCUGUAAAUCAUUGUAAAAUACAUUUUUUACAGUUCCGUGCUGUUUUCUAUGAAUAAAGGUUACUUAAAACCCCCAAAACAUUGCAUCUCUUUACUAUAAGAUCAUCUAUUCAUAUUUAGGAAAAUUUUAUUUAAUUGAAUCUCAUCAGAAGCAGAACAAUAAGUUCACCAAUUAUCUGUUUUCAACUUGUUUGCGUCAAUGUGCAUGUUCCCGACGCAGAUGUUGAGCCUAGACUUAAUAGUGGUGGGAUAAUAUGGUUAAUAUGUUUCUUUGGUUUUUCUAAGGACAUGUGAAAUGGUAGUUACUGGAAACAAGAUAUAGCUAGCUGCAUAACCACAGCUCGAGUGUGUGGUGCGUUGGUUAUCCAAAGCUGCUGGAUGAUUCAUUUUGCCUUGAUCUGUUUUUACCUCUUGUUGUGGGUUCGGCUCUUGCCAUCAAAUUGAAGAAUAUGACAGCGAUGGCAGACGAGUCCAUAAUGGCAGUUAAUGGUUCUUGCAUUUGUAGAAUUAUAGAUCUAUGGCAAAACAAACCUUGAAACAAUCAAAUUAAAUUAAAUCAAGGUUGGAGUGUUUAAUUUGUUUUUAACAUAUAUUUUGCAAGGAAAUGAACAUUUAUCAAGAGAAGUAUUUUCCAUGUCAUUGUAAUGUUAUUACCAUUUAUUUGGUAAUAACAUUACAAUGACAUGGAAAAUACUUAAAGUGCUCCCGAAAUGUCUUAUUAUUUGGAUAGGUACCUCCCCAGCAGCUAAUGAAAAUAUUAUUCUACUUCACAGCAGCUUCAAAAAGAUUUCUAGCAUUUCUAGCCUACUAAAAUAGUCUGAGCUUCAUGCGUCUUACUCGACAGCAUGAGGUUGGUGCCUGAAACUGAUCAUUGUAAUCUACAGUAGGCAUAAACCAUUACUGUAAAGAAAUACAGCAUGUUAGAAUCAUUUUUACAGGAGGCUUCCAAUUACAGUUAAUAACAGUAUUUUUUCAUAAUGCAACGCAAUCUACAG